CCGGAAGCGUAAGACGACGCCGAA
rnacentral:siRNA from 1 species